AAUUGGUCAGCAUAUUGUUAGUAACUCGUGAAAUAUUCCAACAAAUCCGACAUACAUUCCAAUACGGAUCUCGGCUACUUACGUUUCACCUUACUGUGGAAUGCAGUCACCUUGUAGCAGGUGUACGUCCUCAAAGUGAAAAUAAUAAUAAUAAAGAUAAAAAAAAAAGGUAAAAAAAAUAUGAUUAACGUACAAUACUCUAAAUUCUAAUCAUCUAAUAGAACAUGAAAAUAACAGCAGCUGUUCUAAAUAUUUCAGAUGAAUAUUUGAACUUGCAAUAUGUAACAAAAUAAAAUAGAGAAAAAAAUUAUAUAGAAUAAUUUUGGAUUAGAUACGCAUAAGAAUCGAACUAACGGGUCCAUGAAGCUCGUUUACGUGACCUCUGAGCGGUCAUCCCGAAGUUAAAUGCGCGAGAGGCUUUCUCCAAGGAUUGGAAUGCGGCCUCUCCCUCUGACCAGCUCUCUGAUUCGCUUCAAGAACAAGCAAGGAGAUACAUAUGUCGGCCUCCAGAUCUGCUCUUUACUGAUUUUAAUUCCUUCGUAAUAACUAAAUGCCGGAAAAUCAAUUUCCAUUGGCUUCGAAAAGUCAAUUGGCAAUAUCCAUGUUCAUAUUUUAUCUGUCAAUAAUACAAUGUAAGUCGAUGUUAAGAGAUUGCAAAUAUUAUUGAUACAAGAUUUUAUAAAUAUAUAUAUAUUAUAAAAAGAUGUGAAGUCAUUAUCAAUAUCUCAGGAAAAAAUUGAUGUUUCUGAUAUUUCUCUAUUAAUAUAUAAUGUUGAUCUAUUAAUAAGUAUAUUGUAUUUUUAUAAAAAUCAGUACUAAAAAAUCUAUAAAAAAAAGAAAUUUUUAUAAUUUAUUGAACAUUUGAAAUUUAUAUCUACAUCUAUAAAACAUGAUUUUGAGUAGUCAUAUAAAUCAUAUAUCUUUUAAAAAUAUUGUUGAAGUAAUAAAUAAAAUAAAAUUUGGUAAUUUAAGAUAUAGAAA